rnacentral:lncRNA from 1 species
UUAGAAACUCCUGAGGAAAAUCUCUUUGCGAAGAACCUGCACAAGUGGCUUUGGAAAUUUCAAGGAAGCCAAUCUCGCUUGCACAGUAUAGCGGGGUCCUGCACCACGAGAGCCUGCUUUGGGCCCUAGAACCUACAGGCCAUGCAGAGCAUAAGGGGAGGGAGUUGGGCCUGGCAACUGACACCUGUAAUCCCAGCUACUCGGGAGGCAGAGGCAGAGGCAGGAGAAUCACUUGAACGCGGGAGGCAGAGGUUGCAGUGAGCCGAGAUUGGAAAGAAAAGAAAAGAAAAGAAAAAAGGCGGCCGGGU